rnacentral:rRNA from 1 species
GAUGAACGCUGGCGGCGUGCCUAAUACAUGCCAGUCGAGCGAACAGACGAGGAGCUUGCUGCUCUGACGUUAGCGGCGGACGGGUGAGUAACACGUGGAUAACCUACCUAUAAGACUGGGAUAACUUCGGGAAACCGGAGCUAAUACCGGAUGAUAUCUUGAACCGCAUGGUUCAAUAGUGAAAGACGGUCUUGCUGUCACUUAUAGAUGGAUCCGCGCUGCAUUAGCUAGUUGGUAAGGUAACGGCUUACCAAGGCAACGAUGCGUAGCCGACCUGAGAGGGUGAUCGGCCACACUGGAACUGAGACACGGUCCAGACUCCUACGGGAGGCAGCAGUAGGGAAUCGUCCGCAAUGGGCGAAAGCCUGACGGAGCAACGCCGCGUGAGUGAUGAAGGUCUUCGGAUCGUAAAACUCUGUUAUUAGGGAAGAACAUAUGUGUAAGUAACUGUGCACAUCUUGACGGUACCUAAUCAGAAAGCCACGGCUAACUACGUG